rnacentral:rRNA from 1 species
AUUGAACGCUGGCGGCAGGCCUAACACAUGCAAGUCGAGCGGAUGAAGGGAGCUUGCUCCUGGAUUCAGCGGCGGACGGGUGAGUAAUUCCUAGGAAUCUGCCUUGUAGUGGGGGAUAACGUCCGGAAACGGGCGCUAAUACCGCAUACGUCCUGAGGUAGAAAGUGGGGGAUCUUCGGACCUCACGCUAUCAGAUGAGCCUAGGUCGGAUUAGCUAGUUGGUGGGGUAAAGGCCUACCAAGGCGACGAUCCGUAACUGGUCUGAGAGGAUGAUCAGUCACACUGGAACUGAGACACGGUCCAGACUCCUACGGGAGGCAGCAGUGGGGAAUAUUGGACAAAGGGCGAAAGCCUGAUCCAGCCAUGCCGCGUGUGUGAAGAAGGUCUUCGGAUUGUAAAGCACUUUAAGUUGGGAGGAAGGGCAGUAAGUUAAUACCUUGCUGUUUUGACGUUACCAACAGAAUAAGCACCGGCUAACUUCGUG